AUACGGAGGAUGCGAGCGUUAUCUGGAUUUAUUGGGUUUAAAGGGAGCGUAGGUGGGACAUUAAGUCAGCUGUGAAAGUUUGGGGCUCAACCUUAAAAUUGCAGUUGAUACUGGUUUCCUUGAGUACGGUACAGGUGGGCGGAAUUCGUGGUGUAGCGGUGAAAUGCUUAGAUAUCACGAAGAACUCCGAUCGCGAAGGCAGCUCACCGGGCCGGAACUGACACUGAUGCUCGAAAGUGCGGGUAUCAAACAGGAUUAGAUACCCUGGUAGUCCGCACAGUAAACGAUGAAUACUCGCUGUUUGCGAUACACGGUAAGCGGCCAAGCGAAAGCGUUAAGUAUUCCACCUGGGGAGUACGCCGGCAACGGUGAAACUCAAAUGAAUUGGCGGGG
rnacentral:rRNA from 1 species